UACUAUAGUACACAAUUUUUUGAACAUUUGAAUCCACCUUCCUCUCCCCUUGUCCACCCGCCAUUGGCAAAAUAAUUUCACUAUUAGCCGUCGAUUUCACUCAAUCCAACGGCUGCUCUUGUCCGGAUUCGCUACCCCGCCCAGUCCCGCCAUUCCAUCUCGCAUGUGAAUCAGUCGAGCCUUCUGGAUUGCUCCAGAGCUGUCCUUUGCGAUCUUGCCACCUCUAGCAAAAUGUGAAGCAUCGCCUGGCAGCUUUGAGCCUUUGAUAGCCAUAGAAAAUCUCUAGCCCGUCACUCACCACCAGUCCACCACUCCCACCGGUCCAUCACUCCAUCCCCUCGCCGCCUCCACUCCACAGCACCACCAUCUCCAGAGUCCAGAUCUCUCACAUCCACGUUGCAGCUCCGCCACCAUCGUCUUGCAAGCAAGCUCGCGUCAAGUUCGAAAUAUCCUGCGCCGGACUCUUAAUUGUGCAUCGAUGCUUCAAAAAUGGCCGGGAACAGCAAGAAACUACCGGAGAAUGCUAUUAAUGCAAAAGUUAUUGGUGGCCAAUAGAGUGUUCCUUCCACGAAUUCCUCUCUAUCCUUUGGAGGAUGAUGUACUUCCCUUCAGGUUUGAAAUAAGGCAAUUUCCUGUUCGGCUGAGUUUUGCCAUGACAAUCAACAAAGCUCAAGGUCAAACAAUCCCAAAUGUUGGUGUAUAUCUUCCUGAGCCGGUGUACUCACAUGGUCAACUUUAUGUUGCUUUGUAUAGAGUGAUAUAAAGACAAACAACUCCAAUACUUGCAAAGAAAAAUAAGGAUAUUGACCCAUCAGGAAAAAGCACAAAAAAUAUUGUCUACCGGGAUGUUUUGGUUUUAAUUCAUGUACAUACCAUGGCACUGCACUAUGAUUUUCGUGACUAACCAAAGCAAGAAACUUUGUGUCCGGCCUGGCUGUUCUUUGUCUGAAUGUGGGAUUGCCCCUGCCUGUGCAUGGCCUUUCUCUUGUAAUCUAGAAGUAGAACCUGCAACCUUUUGCUUAUGGUUGAUGUUUUAGUCCUUUUUAUUGUGAUUGUAGCUGGUUAUGGUGUUUCUGUUCCAGCUUUCUAUAAAAAACCUGACUAUCGUGCAUUGUUUGUAAACAAAAACUAUGUGUCAUCAGAUAAGAGAAGUCUUGUGUAAAUAUGUUCCCUUUUUAAUAGAAUAAUUUGUCUAACCUCUUAGAAUCGCAUACAACU